AUUUUGUGAUAAUUGUGAAGGUGGCCAUACCCAGCAUACAUCGGGCUGCGUAUCAGAACAUAUCCACGUGCUUGUUGAUAUAUUACAAGGUCAGAAUCUAGAGUUAAUGAAUAAUAUCAUUCCCUGGUAUCAGUCGACGAUCGACGCCAUUUUGGUUAAACUUUCGGAACUUCCCGCAAAGUACUCUAAAUUCAAGGAAGAAAUAAACUCUCACAGACGCUUUUUGCAUAAAUGUAUCGAUGAGAUAUUUGAUAGAAACCUCGAGAAAGUAGACCUAAUGCAAUCAUCUCAUCGUGAAAAUCUUUCAGAGGAACUAGACAAGUCUCGUAAACAAUUUGUAUCCAUGACCAAAGUACUAAGGCAUAACAACAAAGUCUUGGGGGACUGUAGAUUGUUUCAAACAGGGGAAACGAACAAAAUAUUAAAAAAUUUAUUGGAUCAAUAUCCUAAACUUUUAGAAAAAAAUCUUCCAUUGUUUGAGAAAAAUGAUAAUGGUUUGAUGGAAAAGUUGGAAGAAAUUGCUGGUUCCCUUCACGAACAGAACCCUAUGUUUACUUCAUCAUUCAUAAUUCCUCCCCCUUGCAUAAGUUUUGAAGCAAGAGGAAUGAUAACUACUCCAAGACUAAUAUCACUACUAACUGCCGAGUUUUAUUGUGGGGACAUCGUUUGUGAAAGGGUGGAACGAGCUGGGUUUGUGGGCUCGGGUCGAGACAUAUUACUCAGUAUGACAUCACGCGAGGAAAAACGGGAAAUAUAAUUUCGGUGACAUCACAGCCAUCUUUUUUGGCAAUCAAUAGUUUGGGUCAUAUGUUUUACACCGAAUUUCGGGAUAGGUCUGUUAAAUGUGUUACUUACAAAAUACCAUCAACUUUUACCAAAACACAAGGUUGGCAACCUCGAGGAAUCCAUUGUUGCAUGAAUGAUGAUGUUCUUGUUACAGAGUUCAGCGAUAACCUGCAACACUCGAGAAUCGCUCGAUACGACGCUUCCGGUCGCUGCUUAAAUGUAAUUGAAUUUGGAGAAGAGAAUGCACAACAUGUGCCAUUGUUUGACAAUGUACUAUUUAUCUGUGAAAACAAAAAUGGCGAUAUAGGAGUUACGGAACGUCACAAAAAGCGUGUCAUCGCAGUAAAAAAGAACGGAAGGAAAAGGUUCGAGUAUUCCGGUCACAUUCGAUCAAGUAGCUUCACCGAAUUUGAAUUUGCUGGCAUUGGAUCGGACAGUCGUUGUAACUUUGUGAUUUCAGAUCCCAAGAACUACACUCUUCAUGUUGUGGACUGGCAAGGAAAGUUCUUGUUUUAUGUUUUACCGGGAGAAAUAAUUGCUCCAAUGGCGCUUUGCGUAGAUGACGAGGACCGAGUUUGGGUAACCGAGGCUCGGGGCACUGUCAGAGUAUUAACUUACAUAGACCACUGACAGCUUCAAAAUUAAUUUGUGACAUGUUCGAUUCAGUCUAUAAGACUUUAUGUACAUUGAGGUUUGCAUCCAUUUUCUGUCAAUUCUGCAAAAUAGUGAAAAUACAUUGUACAUUCACAGUAUUAUCAUUGAUAAAGUAAAACAAUGUAAUGUACACGUGUAUCAAACUGUAUGUACACAACAAUGCAUUUACGUAUUGAUUUCAUUUCUCUCUUGGAUAUACAUUUAUGUUUAAUUACAACAACUGUAUUAUACAU
rnacentral:misc_RNA from 1 species